AAGAUAGGCAGGAACAGAGGGGAGAAGCGGCACACCUGGGGCCAUGCUGCCCCUGCAGGAGGGGAAGGAGUGGUGCAGAGAGCUGGAGAGCCCUCUGAGCAAAGUGUCCAUCAAGGCCCCAGCCUGGGGGAGCCUGUGAGCGCAUGCCUCAAGAGGACACCUCCGCGGAGGUUGGGGAGGCAGCUGUUGGCAGCCAGGGGACAAGGCCUGUCUCUUCUGAUACCCUGCAUCACAGGGCUCUCAGAUCUCCUCUCAGUGUCUGGGCCUCAGUUUCUCUACCUGUAAAGGCCCCUAGCAGCAGAAAGUGAGGGACCACGGUGAAUGACACUUAACCUCGAAGGGAGAGACAUUGUCAAAUAUAGUGUAUAAAAGGCCAAACACGAGAGAAGACAGAGCAUUCUGGUAGAGGGGAGGAGAGGAUUUAAGGGUUUUGUUCCCCGCAGGAAGGUGAGAGGCAAAAGGAUGCUCUGAAAUGACCGUUGACCUUGUGGCAGCAGGUAGGCAGAUCAAAGCUGCUCAGUGCCUGCCCCAUGGAGGUUUUGGUUGGCUGCCUAGGAGGAGCUGGGCCACCAGGGCCACCAUCAACCAGGCUUGGUGGUUUGAGGAGGAGAGGCCUGGGCACAGUCACCGGCCAGACUUGCGGCCCACAGGCUCGGUGCACAAAGCCCCUGAGCAGACUGAGGGGAGCUGCCACGGCUCCUGGCUUGUGCCCGGCACAUGCUGGCUCGAGGACAGCCAGCCCCAGAGGCCCAGAAUUACUGAGUCUAACCCAAGCCCAGCCCUGGCACUAGAACCUUGCUCCAGCUUCUUUUUCUGACCCAGUUAGUGCCUACCCCCUUCCAGUUCCAGCUGCAAACAGGAGCCAUGACCCCCUUUCAGGGAAGGCUAGGCCUCUUUCCCUGCCCCCUGUUCCCCCUCCCUCCAGCCUUCCUAACUGGAAACACUGGGACUUAACCAUGGAAACCCUAGGGAGGCCCCGAGGCUCCAGACAGCCGCCUUUGCUGCCCCGAGGCGAGGCCUUUGCCUGAAGCUCCAGGCCUCGGACCCCGCGGGCAGUGGGGCACCUGUGUAGACAUCCCUGCCUGUAGCUCCUCUUAGUGCCCACAAGUGGCCCCCACCCCGACCCUAAAAAAACUCCAGAACGCUAAGGCUGGUGGGCGAUCAGAGCUCUCACCCUCUGCUGGAAUUUUUUCCAAAUAAGUGAAUGCUCUAGGUCUCUGACAUUUGUCUCUUUAAGCACAAAUAUUAAUUUAAAAAAAUUCUAAUAAUUUUUUUUUGCUUGAGCACACUUCUGAAAUGUAUUAGAACUUAUCUGGCCCCUGAACAGAGUAUACAAAGCAUAACCUUCUCUUCCCUCGAUGACCUGGGAUUGCUCUCAAGAAUACCCAUUACUGGCCUGAGCUGUCACUGCCUCCUCCUGAGUUCCCAGUAGGAUGUCCAGACACCGCCUCUGGCCAGCCCUGUCUCAGCCCUCAGGGACCUCUGGCUGGCCUGGAGAGUGCUUUUGUGUGGCAUUCCCAGCCCAGUGGGUUCAUCUGGGCUGGAACCAGAGGUUCCUAGUGGAGGAGGGAAGGAUGCAGGCACAGCAGAAGCAUUCUAUCAUUUGAACGCCCGGGGUCUGCCUCCGCCUCUGUUUAAACAAAGAUGGCAAUGUGUGCAGGACUGUGUGGACUAGAGGCCCGGCAUGCUGUGCUCUGAGACCUCCUGUCUGUGUUUCCUUCCUCCUUUGCUGGCAGCUGCUGCCGCUCAGGGUCACAGAACUCACUUGUCACCUGUGGCCCUAUUUUAUCCAUGGGGGCCUGGGAGGAGCUGGAACAUGGAUAGGGGUAGCUCCCACCCAACAAAGGAAGGGCCUCCUGGCCACGGCGCCUCUGUUCUGGAUGAGCGAGGCUGCAGCAGUCUCAGCGGGUUCAUGGUGUGCAGCAGCAGGGACCCUAUGAGGAGCCUGCGUGAACCAGGAGCCGUCCCUAGGACAACACUAACUUCUAUGGCCUUGUAUUUUCCAGUCUGAGUGUCUAAAACCUGCUAAACAUUCCCAGUUUGAUUGGCAAUGAUCAUGGCAAACAGGUAAGUGGCCAAAGAUAACAAAGAGAAUCAUAGAGCCAUGGAAAGUCAGGCUAGAAGUGACCUGAGCAACCUUUUAGUCCAACCUCUCACUCAGAUGGGGCGACCGAGACACAGGCAAGGGAAUGAUUUGUCAAAGGUCAGAGCAACAACAGAGGCAGAGCGAGGCCCAGGCCAGCCUGGGGCAGCCAUCCCCUGCCAGGUCUCCUUCACAGGACAGCAGCCUCCACUCAGAUCUGCCUGCCCUUGCCGUAGCCCCGUGCAUUUUAAUUGCUUAUUCCUUUUCUUAUCAUGCCCUGGGGUAAUUUUACAAAGGGCACAACUGCGACAUUCAAACAAAACACAUCUAUUCUCAGGUUAUUUUUCCUGAUGUAAAUCCUUAUGAUUAAAGAAGAAAAUACAAUUGUAGGUAAGACAAGCCAAAAAAAAAAAAAAAAGAAAAAGAAAAAA
ensembl:lncRNA